rnacentral:tRNA from 1 species
UCCCUCAUAGCUCAUUCAGUAGAGAAUCUGCCUGAAAUGCAGGAAACCUGGGUUUGAUUCCUGGGUUGGGAA